GUGAAUCAUCGAAUCUUUGAACGCAAAUUGCGCCUUUUUCGGAAGGCAUGUCUGUUUGAGGGCACCAUUUAACAAAUAAUGUGCAGCGUUUUUUGUUGCACACGUUGAUGAUCUUUCCAAGAAUUUGAAAUUUUUGGUGGCGCAUAAUGAACAGCGUGAAAGUUUUUUUCAGUUCGAGUGUCGUAAAUUCUUUGCUUCCAUUUUGAAAAAACAUAAUCGCGCAAUGUUGGUGGCA
rnacentral:misc_RNA from 1 species